CUAACACUGAUUGGCAAUGGGUUGUUUUGGAUGGCCCAGUAGACCCAAUAUGGAUAGAAAACUUAAAUUCUGCAUUAGAUGACUCCAGAACAUUGUGCCUUGCUAAUAGUGAACGAAUCUACCUAUCGUCAGGAAUGAGAAUGGUAUUUGAAGUAGACAGCCUCUCUCAAGCCAGCCCUGCUACUGUUAGUAGAUGUGCCAUGGUUUAUGUGGACCCAGUUGAUCUAGGAUGGGAGCCAUAUGUCAAGACAUGGUUAGAAAGCAUUUCCGCAGUAAUAUCAGAAAAUGAGAUUGAGUAUCUUGGAAGUUUAUUUCAAUUAAGCAUGAAAAGAGGUCUAGAAUUUUUGGAUAAAAAUAAGAAAAUGCACAUAUUUCCUGUUCAUCAGAUGGGCAUUGCAAUGAAUCUUUGCAGAAUUCUUGGUUCAUUUAUUAACAUAAUCAAAGCAAGUGAAGGAUUACAAUUCAGUCUGAAAGGAAAAUAUGGUUCUGUGGCUUCUUCAUUUCUGAACCAGAUCAAUUCCUCUCAAUUUUUUGAAAGCACAGCAUUCUCUGGAAUAGAAUCAUCAAAGAAAA